rnacentral:misc_RNA from 1 species
CCAUCGCAAUCCUCGUCUGCAAUCCAUUAAAAAUAUACUUUUGAAGAGUCUGAACAACAUAGCAAACACAUAACACCAUCGUGAAGUGAAAAAAAGACUAACCAGAAGGUAACCAACGUAGGCUGAUAGAAGAGACAGUGUGGCUGUGAAAUUGGGAUAAACAGUGAAAGUCCAAGCACCAAUGACAAUAACACAAAUAGAACCGCUACAAACUCCAGUCAAGAAGCAAAUAGCACUUGUCAUGUCUGAAUCUACAAUUG